rnacentral:rRNA from 1 species
GACGAACGCUGGCGGCGUGCUUAACACAUGCAAGUCGAACGGUAAGGCCCUUCGGGGUACACGAGUGGCGAACGGGUGAGUAACACGUGGGUGAUCUGCCCUGCACUUCGGGAUAAGCCUGGGAAACUGGGUCUAAUACCGGAUAGGACCACUGCCUGCAUGGGUGGUGGUGGAAAGCUUUUGCGGUGUGGGAUGGGCCCGCGGCCUAUCAGCUUGUUGGUGGGGUGAUGGCCUACCAAGGCGACGACGGGUAGCCGGCCUGAGAGGGUGACCGGCCACGCUGGGACUGGGAUACGGGCGAGAAUCCUACGGGAGGCAGCAGUGGGGAAUAUUGCACAAUGGGCGCAAGCCUGAUGCAGCGACGCCGAGUGAGGGAUGACGGCCUUCGGGUUGUAAACCUCUUUCAGCACCGACGAAGCGCAAGUGACGGUAGGUGCAGAAGAAGGACCGGCCAACUACGUGCCAGCCGCCGCGGUAA